UUUUUUCUCGGGAAAUUAGAAAGUAUAUCCUGCCCUAUGAUGAUUUAAAUGGCCGCGGAAAUUAACUGUGCAAAGGUAGCAUAAUAMUUAGUUUUUUAAUUGAAAAAUGGUAUGAAUGGGUGUUUAUAYUUAAUUUAGUGAGAUUAGUAAAAAAUUGAAUUUGAAUUUAGAGUAAAAAUUCUUUAUUAAAUCUAAGGGGCGAUAAGACCCUAUAGAUCUWUAUUUUGUGUGURUAUCUUARAAGGAUUAAYYGGGYUAAAAUAYAAAAYUUUAUUGGGGUGMUAAAAGAAAUUUAUUAACUUCUUAAUAGGUAAAUAUCUUAAAUUUAGGAUUUAGAAAAAGAUACCUUACGGAUAACAGCGUUAUUUUAUUUGAGAGAUCUUAUUAAUAAUAAAGAUUACGACCUCGAUGUUGRAUUAAAA
rnacentral:rRNA from 1 species